rnacentral:rRNA from 1 species
UGACGUAGGGUGCAAGCGUUGUCCGGAAUUAUUGGGCGUAAAGAGCUCGUUAGGCGGUCUGAUCCGCGGUCGGCUGUGGAAAACCCGGGGCUCGAACCCGGCCUGCAGGUCGAUACGGGCAGACUAGAGUGCGGUAGGGAGACUGGAAUUCCUGGUGUAGCGGUGAAAUGCGCAGAUAUCAAGGAGGAACACCGGUGGCGAAGGCGGGUCUCUGGGCCGUAACUGACGCUGAGGAGCGAAAGCGUGGGGAGCAAACAGG